rnacentral:rRNA from 1 species
UGGCGAAAGGGCGAGGAACGCGUGGGCAAUCUGCCCUGAAGACUGGGAUAACCCGCCGAAAGGUGGGCUAAUACCGGAUGUGGUCGCCUCGGGCAUCCGAGGUUGACUGAAGGCGGGGAUCUUUGGACCUAUCACUUCAGGAUGAGCCCGCGUCCCAUCAGCUAGUUGGUGAGGUAACGGCCCACCAAGGCUUACGGGUAGCUGGUCCGAGAGGAUGGUCAGCCGCACUGGGACUGAGACACUGCCCAGACUCCUACGGGAGGCUGCAGUCGAGGAUCUUUUGCAAUGGGCGCAAGCCUGACAAAGCGACGCUGCGUGGAGGAUGAAGGCCUUCGGGUUGUAAACUCCUGUCAUUCGGGAACAAGGAAGGGGGAAUAAUACUCCUCUGACUUGAUGGUACCGGAAGAGGAAGCCACGGCUAACUCUGUGCCAGCAGCCGCGGUAAUACAGAGGUGGCGAGCGUUGUUCGGAUUUACUGGGCGUAAAGGGUGCGUAGGUGGUGCCGCAUGUCGGACGUGAAAUCUCACCGCUUAACGGUGAAACUGCAUUCGAAACUGCGGUGCUAGAGUACAGGAUGGGAGAGCGGAAUUCUCGGUGUAGCGGUGAAAUGCGUUGAUAUCGAGAGGAACACCGGUGGCGAAGGCGGCUCUCUGGAAUGAUACUGACACUGAGGCACGAAAGCUGGGGGAGCAAACAGGAUUAGAUACCCUGGUAGUCCCAGCCCUAAACGGUGUGCACUUGGUGUGGGGAGAUUUGACCCUCUCCGUGCCGGAGCUAACGCGUUAAGUGCACCGCCUGGGGAGUACGGCCGCAAGGCUAAACUCAAGAAAUUGACGGGGGCCCGCACAGCGGAGGAGCAUGUGCUUAUUCG